ACGUCACCUUAUCAAUUAGUACAUGUUUUAAUUAGAAACAACUUGUCAUUUCAUAAAUCAAUAUAGUUGUUUCAUACGGUUUAGCAUUUACAACUUAGAUAAGAACAAGAAAGAAUCCAUUAGACCACCUCAUAGGUGGUUAAGUGAAAAAGCAAAAAAAAUAAAUAAAAAAUGCUAAAACUAGAGAGAACCGCUGUCUAAUUAAGAAGAAGUAGAGUUGUUAAAACCUCGUACGUGUCGCUUUAUUAUUGGCUUUUUUUUUGCCUUCUCUCUCUUCCUCUUCGUCGUCUCUUCGUCUUCGUUCUUUGUUUUUUUUUUGUAUGAGAAAUCGAUGGGGACAACAAAUCGGGUGGGGAUCGUUUUCGGUGGUGUAGAUGGAACGUGGUUGCUAUCAAGGAGAUCGCCAUGGAGAUCGCGAUGUCGGGGAUUUUCAUCUCGAGGAAGAUCAAUCACCCCAACAUCAUCCGCUUCAUCGACAUGAUCGAGGUUCGUCUUGUUUUGCUCAUCCAAGUGGUAUUGCAGUGACUUCCUGAUUCCUGAGGAAGGCACCAUAUCGCACGUUGAACAUUUGAACUCCCUUCUUCUACUACUGUCUUGAAUCUUCCCACUGGAGAACACAUCAGUUGCAGGUUUUGCUCUUCGUUCCUCUUUUGUUUUCUCUUCAUACCAAAUUUCAAUCUUGUGCAAGCUGUAAACAUACUCAUUGGUAUACUCUAGGUUUUGGUUACUGUAUGGAUGUUGUGUUGA